CUACGGGACGCACCAGUGGGGAAUAUUGGACAAUGGGGGGAACCCUGAUCCAGCCAUGCCGCGUGUGUGAAGAAGGCCUUUUGGUUGUAAAGCACUUUAAGCAGUGAAGAAGACUCUUCGGUUAAUACCCGGGGACGAUGACAUUAGCUGCAGAAUAAGCACCGGCUAACUCUGUGCCAGCAGCCGCGGUAAUACAGAGGGUGCAAGCGUUAAUCGGAAUUACUGGGCGUAUAGCGAGCGUAGGUGGCUUGAUAAGUCAGAUGUGAAAUCCCCGGGCUUAACCUGGGAACUGCAUCUGAAACUGUUAGGCUAGAGUAGGUGAGAGGGAAGUAGAAUUUCAGGUGUAGCGGUGAAAUGCGUAGAGAUCUGAAGGAAUACCGAUGGCGAAGGCAGCUUCCUGGCAUCAUACUGACACUGAGGCUCGAAAGCGUGGGUAGCAAACAGGAUUAGAUACCCCAGUAGUC
rnacentral:rRNA from 1 species